rnacentral:rRNA from 1 species
UGGGGGAAUAUUGCACAAUGGGCGAAAGCCUGAUGCAGCAACGCCGCGUGAGCGAAGAAGGUCUUCGGAUUGUAAAGCUCUGUCCCUGGGGAAGAUAAUGACGGUACCCAAGGAGGAAGCCCCGGCUAACUACGUGCCAGCAGCCGCGGUAAUACGUAGGGGGCGAGCGUUAUCCGGAAUUAUUGGGCGUAAAGAGUGCGUAGGUGGUUACCUAAGCAGGGGGUGAAAGGCACUGGCUUAACCAAUGUCAGCCCUCUGAACUGGGCUACUUGAGUGCAGGAGAGGAAAGCGGAAUUCCUAGUGUAGCGGUGAAAUGCGUAGAUAUUAGGAGGAACACC